CCUCCUUCGCCCGAUCCCUCCCCGCCCCUGCGCGUCUUCUUUUCUCCUCACCUAACCCCUAGCCCAAUCUUCUUCUCUCCCAAGCCAAAAAGGACAGCACGCCCCUUCCCCUCACCACUUCCAGAUCCAAGAAAACCUUCACAGCCCUCCAAUGGCGGCUCCAUUGGUGUUUCUUCUCUAGGCGCCUCGUUCCUGAUUGCCUUGCAAAAAGGCAAAAAAGUAAGGCAAAAAGGUUGACAAUGAUUGGCCUGAAUGAGGAACCAGCUGAAAAUAAUGAUGAUCCAUUGUACUGUACACAACAUGCUGCUGGAAAUGCAGAAUUUGUGGCGGAAUCACCUAAUCCCCCUAUCAUCCAAAGAGUCGAUGGUGCUGCUACAGAAGCAAUGGAGACAGAUGGGCAGUCAAGUCAUGGGGGGCGUGCUCCGGGCAGUACACAAGUACCUGCAGCUGUAGAAGCUGGGAGUGAUGCUCAUACCCUUGAUGGCACAGGUGUUGCAGGUGAUCCCGGUGGCACUGUUAGUAAUGGUUUGGGUGCUGAAAAUGAUGAUGAAGCUUGGUCACAGCCCAAGGAGCCUUACAUGGGCAUGAGGUUCGACACUUUGGAAGAUGCCAAGGUGCAUUACAAUGCAUAUUCCUUGCAAAUGGGGUUUUCAAUCAAAAUGAAUAGUUCAAGGAAGGAUCUCAAAACCAGGGAGUUGAUAAAACAACAGUUUGUUUGCAACAAGUUUCGAAAGCCUGAUGUUGAUGACGGAGGGGCAGAAAAGAUUCCCAUGCUAGAUGACAUUGUUGAGCAAGCAAACGAUGAUAAUGAAGAUGAGGCUAUUGUCUUUCUUGAUGAUGAUAGUAAAGGCAAAAAGAGGAGCAAGAAACGAAAAAGAGAUAAAAUUGUGUAAACUGGUUGCAAAGCUAAGAUGAUUGUGAAGGUAAUAGAUGGCAAUGGGAAGUGAUCUACUUUGUUAGCGAGCACAACCAUCCGUUGGUUGACAAGCCAUAUUUGACUAAGUAUUUGCGAUCACACCAAGGGAUCCCGACAGAAGAAAGGGCCUUCCUUACUCAUCUUCAUAACUGCAAUAUAACUACAGGUCGUAUGAUGCACAUCAUGUCAGAUUUCUAUGGGAUAGAACUCAUUGUACCUUAUGGCACUAAGCACAUUACAAACCUCAAGACGCUGUUGAACAAGGAUGAUACAAAAGAAGGGGAUAUGAUAAAGACAGUUGCUUACUUAAAGAUCAGCAGAGAGAGGAUCCAGAUUUUUUUUACAAGAUAAAAUAUGAUGAGGAAGACAGGGUUGAGAAUAUUUCUGGGUCGAUGGUGCAGCAAGGAAGGUGUACAAGGAAUCUUAUCAUGAUUGUAUCUCCUUUGACACAACGUACAUGACUAACAUGUACAACAUGCCCUUUGCACCAUUCAUUGGGAUUAACAGGCAUGGGCAGUCAUUCAUGUUGGGUUGUGGCUUUGUUAGGCAAGAGUUGGCAUCGAGCUUUGAUUGGCUA